AGGGAAAUAACUCAGUGGUAGAGCACAUGCUUAACAUGCAUGAGGUUCUGGGUUCAAUCCACAGUACCUCCA
rnacentral:tRNA from 1 species